rnacentral:rRNA from 1 species
ACUUAAAUUGAAGAGUUUGAUCAUGGCUCAGAUUGAACGCUGGCGGCAGGCCUAACACAUGCAAGUCGAGCGGUAGCACAGAGAGCUUGCUCUCGGGUGACGAGCGGCGGACGGGUGAGUAAUGUCUGGGAAACUGCCUGAUGGAGGGGGGUAACUACUGGAAACGGUAGCUAAUACCGCAUAACGUCGCAAGACCAAAGUGGGGGACCUUCGGGCCUCAUGCCAUCAGAUGU